rnacentral:rRNA from 1 species
GAUGAACGCUAGCGGCAGGCUUAAUACAUGCAAGUCAAGGGGGUAGCAAUACAACCGGCGCACGGGUGAGUAACGCGUACACAACAUGCCAUAUACUGGGGUAUAGCUUUGGGAAACUGAAGGUAAUCCCCCAUAACAUUGCGAGAGGGCAUCUGAUUGCAAUUAAAGUUUCGGCGGUAUAUGAUUGGUGUGCGUUUGAUUAGCUAGUUGGUAGGGUAACGGCCUACCAAGGCGACGAUCAAUAGCUGGCGUGAGAGCGCGACCAGCCACACUGGAACUGAGACACGGUCCAGACUCCUACGGGAGGCAGCAGUAGGGAAUAUUGGACAAUGGAGGAAACUCUGAUCCAGCCAUGCCGCGUGAUAGAUGAAGGCCCUCUGGGUUGUAAAUAUCUUUUAUCUGGGAAGAAACUCCUCUAUUCUUAGAGGCCUGACGGUACCAGAGGAAUAAGC